rnacentral:rRNA from 1 species
AUUGAACGCUGGCGGCAUGCUUUACACAUGCAAGUCGAACGAGUGGCGCACGGGUGAGUAAUACAUCGGAACGUGUCCGAUCGUUGGGGAUAACUGAUAGAAAGAACAGCGAAUACCGCAUACGCUCGGAGCGGCCGAUGCCCGAUUAGCUAGUUGGUGAGGUAAAGGCUCACCAAGGCGACGAUCGGUAGCUGGUCUGAGAGGAAGAUCAGCCACACUGGAACUGAGACACGGCCCAGACUCCUACGGGAGGCAGCAGUGGGGAAUUUUGGACAAUGGGGGCAACCCUGAUCCAGCCAUGCCGCGUGCAGGAUGAAGGUCUUCGGAUUGUAAACUGCUUUUGUCAGGGAAGCGGUACCUGCAGAAUAAGCACCGGCUAACUACGUGCCAGCAGCCGCGGUAAUUC